GAAAGAGAGAAAUAUUGAAAUCAUAUACAGUGAAUUCCGGGUAAUGUGGCCACCGGUUGAUAUGGACUGCCACCUAUUAUGGCCUAAAUCGUCUAGUCCCAACCACAAUGUAAACAAAAAUCCCAUAAUAUGGACAUUCGGUUGGGUUUAUAUGGGCAAGUUAGCUGCACAACUGUGUUGAAUUGUUCCGCACAUUGUAAUUUUUCUAAUUUUGUUAGUCCACAACGCAAAUUGAAUGAGAAAUUUUUACUUGUUCAAAACUUUAAUGAGGUUGGAUUCGAUAAAAAAAAAAAACAAUGGAUUACCUGGAUGCUGAUCUACCAGUUAAAGCUAAAGAGGCUAAAAAAAGCAUUGAUUAGUCGCAGAAGUUCUUCAUACAAGAUGGUAACGAAAAUAGUCUGUCUGACAAGCAUAAAGUGUAUAUCCAUUUUGUCAAUUAGAUUUACACUAAGCAGUUUAGACAACGAGGAAUUACGUUUUUUACACCUUCCACACCCAAAUUAUAAUUUUAUUUAUUAUUUUCUUGUAUUUUUAUUUAUGUGUUAAUUUAAUUUUAGAUUCUGAGUGGAGCGAAAAAGCUUAUAAUUUUACAAAGAUAUUUAUCUUUAUCUUAUUUUAUCUUUAUCUAUUUUUUUAUAUGUAGCAUAUUUCUAAAAGAAAAUUGGCGUGAGAAGAUUCUUAGAGAGGGCCAUUUUUCGAUUUUCUAAAGAGUUUUUUCAGCAAAUGUGAAAAACAGGUGUAAAACACAGAAAACCGGGAAAAUUGUAGGAAAACUAGG